rnacentral:tRNA from 1 species
AGGAUUUUAGUUAAUUAAAUAACAUUUAAAUUGCAUUUAAAAAUUAUAAAUAUUUUAUAAAUCUUCC